CCGUAUGUAUGUUAGAAAUGCCUUCAGUUAUGGCAAGACUGCUCCCACAAUAUCUGGAAAAGUUUACUAAACUUUCGCCAACGUCUCAAGUUGCCAUACCACUGCUAGAAUUUCCCUCUGCUCUUGCUGAUAAGUCAUUUCAUCCUGGUUUGUCAACUG